AGCUGUUGGAGAGAUAAAACCAAAAAAUCAGAUCUCAGUCUCACUUCUCCGAAAGCCGAGAUAGAAAAUAGGAGAAAGGAGUGCUGAAAUUUUUCAUAUGAUUUGUUGAAGAAUUGAAAUACUUAGUGAUUCUACCAAUUUUUUAGAUUCAUAUGGGGAUUUGAUUUAUAAUAAUUGAUUCUACUGAAUGACUAGAUUGAAAUCUAUAAUUGAAAUCUCAUGUUAUUUUUUUCAUCAUGAAAAUUUAAAAAAGUUGAGCUGGGUUUCUUAAAUUUGAUCAACAGAGUCGAAAUUUAGGAAGAUAUUUCCAUGCCAAAGUGUUGAAGUUUGGUUUUCACUUGUUGAUAUGUUAUGGAUGUAGAUGCGUGCAAAAUUAGAACCCACAAAGUUCCGGAUGUGGAUGCGUGCAAAGUUACACAACGUCGAAAAGUUGAAGUGAAAGCUGGAGUGGAAUUUGAUAAGGUAACAGGAAUCAGAACCCACAAAAGCUUCCAUGCAUCAGUGGUCCAAGCAGCUGGAUAUGAGAAACUUUCAUUUGAUGAAAAAGAUGUUAGAAAUUUUUGAUUAACAAUCAAAUUCCUCUACUGUAAUUCUGAAUCUGAAUUGUAAACUUUGCAUCAUAUUUUCAUAUAAUUGUGAUUGUAGACUUUGAGUAAUUUUUUCUUAAUUCAAAUUCAGAGUUUUUUCUAUA